UUGGAGGGCAAGUCUGGUGCCAGCAGCCGCGGUAAUUCCAGCUCCAAUAGCGUAUAUUAAAGUUGUUGCAGUUAAAAAGCUCGUAGUUGAAUUUCGGGACCAAUUUGUUGGUCGUGCCUCGGUACGUACUGGUAUUAUUGGUUACUCCCUUCUGAAGAACCCCGAUGUCAUUAAUUUGGUGUCGUGGGGAAUCAGGACUGUUACUUUGAAAAAAUUAGAGUGUUUAAAGCAGGCAUACGCUUGAAUACAUUAGCAUGGAAUAAUGAAAUAGGACGUUUGAUUCUAUUUUGUUGGUUUCUAGGAUCGACGUAAUGAUUAAUAGGGAUAGUUGGGGGCAUUAGUAUUCAAUUGUCAGAGGUGAAAUUCUUGGAUUUAUUGAAGACUAACUACUGCGAAAGCAUUUGCCAAGGAUGUUUUCAUUAAUCAGGAACGAAAGUUAGGGGAUCGAAGACGAUCAGAUACCGUCGUAGUCUUAACCAUAAACUAUGCCGACUAGGGAUCGGAUGAUGUUAAUUUUUUAAUGACUCAUUCGGCGCCUUACGGGAAACCAAAGUGUUUGGGUU
rnacentral:rRNA from 1 species